UACGGGGGGGGCAAGCGUUGUUCGGAAUUAUUGGGCGUAAAGGGCGCGUAGGCGGCCGGGUAAGUCAAAGGGGAAAUCCCUCGGCUCAACUGAGGAACUGCCUUUGAAACUGUUUGGCUCGAGUCCGGGAGGGGGUAGCGGAAUUCCCAGUGUAGCGGUGAAAUGCGUAGAUAUUGGGAGGAACACCAGUGGCGAAGGCGGCUAGCUGGACUGGAACUGACGCUGAGGCGCGAAAGCGUGGGGAGCAAACAGG
rnacentral:rRNA from 1 species